AUGGCUGUCGUCAGCUCGUGUCGUGAGAUGUUGGGUUAAGUCCCGUAACGAGCGCAACCCCUAUCCUUAUUUGCCAGCGGAUUAUGCCGGGAACUCUAAGGAGACUGCCGGUGACAAACCGGAGGAAGGCGGGGACGAGGUCAAGUCAUCAUGGCCCUUAUGGGGUGGGCUAGAAACGUGCUACAAUGGGAAGUACAGAGGGCUGCAAACCCGCGAGGGUUAGCGAAUCCCACAAAGCUUCUCGUAGUCCGGAUAGGAGUCUGCAACUCGACUCCUUGAAGUUGGAAUCGCUAGUAAUCGCGAAUCAGAAUGUCGCGGUGAAUACGUUCCCGGGCCUUGUACACACCGCCCGUCACAUCAUGGAAGUGGGUUGCACCAGAAGUAGCUAGUCUAACCUUCGGGAGGGCGGCUACCACGGUGUGGUUCAUGACUAGGAUGAAGUCGUAACAAGGUAGCCGUAGGGGAACCUGCGGCUGGAUCACCUCCUUAAACCUAAAAGAUGGGUUACGUCUUUUCGAACGAUCGAGCUUCGCAUUGCGAAUCUCGAGAAGCUAGAUGAGACCGUUACACCAUCCAGUCGAGGACUCGAUCUUUACGCACGAGCUGGAAUCUCUUCGGAGAUUUUAUGGCGGCGCUUAGCGUCGCCCCCACACAAUGGUUUAUUCACAUACAUGGGCCUACGCGAGCGGGUCUGUAGCUCAGUUGGUUAGAGCGCACCCCUGAUAAGGGUGAGGUCGGUGGUUCAAAUCCACCCCAGACCCACCACUUAUACGCACCGCACAGUAGCCAAUCCGAGGGGCCGUAGCUCAGCUGGGAGAGCACCUGCCUUGCACGCAGGGGGUCAGGAGUUCGAUCCUCCUCGGCUCCACCAUCUGCGGCUCUAUCGUCAGAGUCGGAGUUCGGAGUGUAGAUUUUUGCAUUGGAUGGGGCUUCCCUCGCGUUGCAACGCGCAACCGCUAGAGUGCUAAUAUCGAAGCGAAAUAAUGACGUUUUGAUAUUGGCGUUUGGUCCUGCGAAGGAUUGAAGCCCGCUCUUUAACAAUUUGAAACUGAUGAAGCCGUGUUUUUCACGUAAGCGUGAAAGACACUCCGCUCUGCCGGCAAAUAUGCCGGUGAGAGCAAAAAUUGUUCGAUGUGCCUGGGAUAGCAUGAGUGCUAUCCCGCAGUCCGCCGACCGCGGCGGUACUGCUGGUAUAUCCGGCGAAAGUUUAACGACGAUGAGCUUAGCGGACACCUCGUUCGUUGGGUUAUAUGGUCAAGUGAACAAGCGCAUCUGGUGGAUGCCUUGGCAGCUGAAGGCGAUGAAGGACGUUGUAGCUUGCGAUAAGCCUCGGGGAGCCGGCAAACAGGCUUUAAUCCGAGGAUUUCCGAAUGGGGAAACCCGG
rnacentral:sRNA from 1 species